UGCUUGAUUUUGUUGGCUUUUAGAUUAUUUGUGCUUAGUAUAAGUAAUAAAUAACGAACUUUGUUUAUUGACUAUCUUUAUGUCUGUUCAUUACAAUUUUAGAAUAGAUUGUAGUCUAUUAAUCAACCACUCAUGCAUGCCAAAUUGCUUUUCAAGGAUCAUAAGUCUUGGAGAAAAUGAGGAUCGUAUCGUUCCUUUUGCUAAAAAGGAUGUUUCAGCAGGGAAUGAGUGAACCUUUGAUUAUAGAUUUGAACCUCAUCAGAAUGAUGAGGCUAAAGUCCCUUGUCAUUGUGGAGCUCCCAACUAUAGCAAAUUCAGGAAUUAGAAUAGCAUAAGUAGAUAGAUUAUUGACUAUUCCUCAUCCUAACUGUUAGAGGAUUGUGGGGAUAUUUUGUUCUUCUCCCACCCUCCAAUUUACUUUUAAUUUGAUUCUUUUGUUUAUGCUUAACAUGCAAAUAUCUAUAUAACUUCAUUAACAUGUAAGAAUAGUGAAAGUUUUUCCUCUUCUUUAAUCUGAUGCAGAUAUUAUUAUGUAGCAUGUUAAUUAUUGUGUUUUUCAUCGUUUCCUCACGCUAACAUGUUCCACACAUAGAUAUAUAUCUCAAAAACAAUAUUGUACAAAUAGAUUUAAUUCUUGCAAGAACAUUCCAGGUCAUAAAUGUUUUAUGUCCUCAUAUAAACUACGAUAUACAGUGGUACAAUAACAAAUUGAAGAAAAUAUUUCACAUAGAGAUGCUGAGAUUAAAUUGAUGACGAUUCAUGGACAUAGAAGGGGCAACACCUCUAAAACUUGUAUCAUCCAUUGAUGGAAUGAAUCCUAAGCAACCUAGUACCCCUAAUUUCUUGUAUGGCAAAAAUGUUUUCCUCUUCAUCUCUUCGGAGAAUGGCCUAUUCAACGUGUAAUGCAAUUCAUGAGCCUAAAUCUACCUCCUCCUUCUCAUAAAGGAGGUUGAUACUGAUGAUGAUGCAACACUGCUAGAAGUUGAUCUGAAGCUUGAAGUCUUCGCGUCCUCCUCCUGCUCGCGCGUUUUCUUUAACAACUUGUUUAAUUGAUCUUUACUGCUCGCUCUGCCCUCAGAAGCACUUCUGAAUAGGAAUAAAUCUUCCAGUUUCCAUUUUAUGUACCAGAGUGAUAUCGAUGAUGAAACGGAACACAAAGAGUAUGGGCUAGUCUUUGUGGACCCCUGAUUGCUUUCAUGAUCAAAUACCAGAUCAAGAACAAUUACAUUGCUUUACAAUCUUGAAGCCUAGUUCUUCUUUCAUUUUUCUCUAUUUCCAUUUUUCGCUGAUUAUACAAUUACAAUGUUUUUAGAUACAAAUAAACUAACUUAAUAUGAGUUUUGAUGCUACUGUUUUCAUGAACAAGAUUUGUGACUGCAUCAGCUGCCCAUUGAAUGACACCAUUGACUGCUCGAGAGUUCUAAGCAUCUUUUUCCCUCUUCAGCAGAUUAGCAAGAUGAGGCAAAGCUCCAACAUCAACAAUCAGUUGUUGGUGCUUCAGCUGUCAGACAUAAAAUUUAAAAUAUAAAGAAAAAGAGUAAAUAUCUACUCCUCUGAUAGAUGCAAGAAUUAAGAACUAUAUAUGGUAUUUAUAUUUCACAUUUACAUUUCCUCUGUUAUUUAUAUUUCAGAUUCACAACAGUUUUCUCUGUCUUGAAUAGAUCAAUGAUUUGUAUAGAUCACCUGACUAGUCUAUUGAUCAAUUAAAUCUCUGCUCUUUCUUAGUUUUAGGAAGGAGAAGAUUUUGUAUAGCUCAACCAAUGGAGGUAUGAAUUCUUAAAACUUUACUAGUAUUUUCUUAGAUAAAAGUAUUCGUCAUGUGUAAUAUAGGUGGAUCAGAAACUAUUUUACCUUUGUCUAUGCUCUGCGUAUUUAUUAUCUUUAGGAAUUUUACCUUGUUAUCUAUAGUUUAGGCAUCUACUUACUCAAUUUGAUAAUCAUUUUUUAUUGCCUCUGGUUGACCUGGAACCAUCAGAUGGACCUUUGUUGGAAAUGAACGAUUUAGAUGAAUUCAAAUCUUUCUUACGUCGCAUUCUAGAUCAUAAAUUCUGGUAAUAUUUCAGAUUUUAUUGAUGUGCUUUAUUUCUUUUUGCAUCUAGCACUGGUUUCCAUAUGCUGUAAUUAAUAUUCUGUUUUUUGGGCUAUGAACUUGUUGCUAUUGGGGUAAUAAAUAGUGAACUUUAUUUAUUAUAUAUCUUUAUGCCAUUUGAUUAUAGUUUCCGAAUAGAUUGUAGUCUAUUAUGGUAUGAUAAACUUCUAGGAGAUUGGUUUUUCAUUGGAAUUUCAUUUUCUACUAGCUCAUUAACAGAGGUAUGGAUGAUAUAAUGUCCAUUUUCAUACAGUCAUAUUGUGGUUUUACUUUUGUAGUUCUGUAUUUUUCAUAUGUAUAAUAAAACUACUUCUUUUGGUUCUAAUUUUGCAGCUAAUUAUAACAGCUAGUAUUGUAAGCAACUUCCCAAUUCCUAGAGACAGAAAUAAUGUUGCUUCAUCUCAAAAUCAUACGGAUUCUUCAAUCAAAAUUCUGAAUGAUACAGAGCAAUUGAAGGUAUAUCUUUCUUUCUAUUUUCCAUUGGAAAGAGUUUGUAUGCACAAUAAGUGACAUUGUUUGAUGUUUGAGAUUAUGCACAUUUUUCAUGUGAUAGUCAUCCUUGUUCUGAUCAGAUUUGGGUCCCUUCAAACCCAAAUCUGUAGCUUAAUGCUUGCUUUAGAAUUGAAUAUGCAAUACAAUUUCCUGUUUCUACCAUGUUGAGUACCAGCUCUUGUAGACCAAAAAUUCCUUAUAUACUUCGACUAAUUCCAAGGAAUACUAUCAUUUUCUACCAGUAACAUAUACCAUGUAACUCUGCUUACCAAUGAUAGAACAGAUGAGAAAGAAAUUAUCUAGUGUUUUUAUCUCUGUUGACAUUUGAACUUGAGACCUCAUGAUUCUUGAUCCACUUCAUUGAUAACUUUGAUCACACUCUUGGUACCGUUGUAUGUUAAUUUUUUUCACACAAUAAAUAAAGUAUGUAAGGCCCAAUCAGAUAAUUAAAGCAUAAUUUAAACUCUGGUUGAAUUUUAUACUCUUUGUCCACUUGGACUAUAAUUUUAUGGGACAACAGCUCUUGCAAAGUUUAGAUGUUGGACUAUAACCUUCCAAAGGACUUGUUCUAAAGUUCUAUUAAUGAAGUAUUUGGGUUUUAGCCUGAGAAAACAAGAGUUGGGUCAUCACAUUUAUUAAAGGAUACAUUCAAGGCAGAAUACAAGUUCCCUUCCUUAAAAUCGUCAAGUAAAUUUCAUUUAGACAUUUGAAUUGUGUCAUUGAAAAUAACUAAAAUGUUGGACAAUUCUUGAUGAUGCAGUGAGUUUAAUUGAACAAAUUUGCAAAAUGAGACUAUGCAUAUGCGAUAUGUUGUGUAAGGUGUUACUAAUACAAAUGAUUAUUUUGUGGCAAGGAUGAUCUUAGUUACUGUAAUGGUGAACUAAAUGCAAACAUUUGAACCAAUUACUGAUGAAAAUGCAGACAUCAAUAGCUUACUCAUACUGAUUAUUUAUAGAGAUAUACACUUCCACUGAGUGCAGUCACUAGAGUUUAUAUUAUACAAAUAUUAAUUCAUAACUGUGUGAUAUUCAGCUUUCUUUUUUGGUUUUAGGAUUACAGUACAGAUUAUUUCUACUUCAUAUUGGAGAAAAACAAUUGAGACUGAACAUUUUACAGAACUAGCUAGGAGUUGGUUGACUAAUUGAUGGACAUACAUGCUACAUAAGCUAUCUUUGUUUCCACAUUGCAGGUGAGUCACAAAAAUGGAUCUAGAUGAACUAAUCAUCUCGAUGGAGCCCCCUGUGGACUCAAAACAUGUUCAUUUGACUCUAUCAGGGUAUGAUGCUAUUCUUAUUUGUAUUAUAUACGUGUACAAGAACUUGCUUUAUGUUCUCUUGGCAUGCAAAUUUUGUUGUAUUGUUUUUCAAAAUGAUUUAUCUGUUAUCCUAGAAAAAAUUCUUAAUUCUCGGGGUUGAGGCUUUCUAAAAUGCAAAUUCUAGUGAACAGGUUUGCCUCAUUUACUUAAAUUGGUUGGUGUGCUAUCAAAGGUAGAAGUAUAUGAACUGAUCCUUCGAAGUAAAUCUAAUUACAAACAUUACAGUUGAUGACAUCAGAUUACCAAAUCAUUUCAUGUGAUAAUAUAGUUUCUAAAUUAGAAGUUAGCAUCUCUCUCACAUCACUCUCUCUCUAUCUAUACCAUGCUUUAUCAUCUCUUCGCAGAUAAGAUUUAUCGAUAACACAGAUCCAACUGGCAUUGAUCACCAAAUUACGCAACUUGGCCCUGAGCUGGAUUCAACACUUGUUAUUGUUAUUUCAAAGUGUUUGAACCCGUGACGUGCGACUAACCUACACAUCAGACGUUGUAGUCUAACCACUAUGCCAAAGCGCUUGGGGCUGCAUAAAUAGAGGUAAAUCAAGGGAUCAGUGUUUAUGGAAACAAAUGGAGCACAGAUCAACAUGCCUAUAUUCAACAACUACGAGAAGGUGUGCACAAUUUCUUUGCAACAUUUAUGGAUUGUAUUGUAGUUACUUACUGUGACAUCUUAUUAUCAUAUGAAAUACAUGCUUUAAUAGGAACUAAGAGUCCUAUUUUUCAUAACAAUACCACUACAUUGGGAAGGGGCUGGGAAGUAUUGUUAAAAAUGACUAGUGUUGAGCAUAUUAAAUACAUGAUUUAUUUCACUAACUUCUAAUUUUAUUUUGAAUGUGCAGGAAAAUGCCGGUAAUUGAAUUUGAAUAGUAGCCAGAAGUAAACUCGAUCUAUUGUAUUGAACGAUGAAGAGUUUUUGUACUAUUGUCAUAUUUGUUUGAAUUCAUUAGAUUUUGUGGAAUUUAUUGAUAGUAGAGAUCUUUAAGCAAUCACUUUCUAAGUAUUGGUUGUACAAGAUAUGAUUUUCGAUGCUUGUUCGAAAUAUAUAGCUUUGAUUUAUUUAUUA